GGGGAUAUGGUGAAAUGGUAGACACAAUAGACUUAAAAUCUAUUGAUUUUAAUUGAUCAUGAGGGUUCAAGUCCCUCUAUCCCCA
rnacentral:tRNA from 1 species